rnacentral:lncRNA from 1 species
CUCCCAUUUGUCUCUGGCAUGCACACGUGUGCACACUCACAUGAAACAUUUGAAAACAGACUGUGCUCAUCAGAAUACUUCAGUCCUAAAUGCUUCCACACCUAUCUCCUAAGAAUGAUAUCGGGCUACAGAACUCAACCCCAUUAUCACAUCCCCGAAACUUAAUAUUGAUAUAUCAUUAUGUAAUGAUCUAUAGCCAGAGUUUCCUCUUGUCCCAAAGAUGUCUCCAGAAGGCCUUUGGAACCCCAGGACCUCACAGUGCAGCUAAUGACUCCCCUCAUCUCCUUCAUCCAGAGUCCCUGGGGUGAUAGGCCUGCACCACCAUGCCCAGCAUUAUUUCUUUUAAUAUUGAUAUUUUUGACUAAGUCAGUUCUCUCUCAUUUCCUCAUGAUUGGAUUUGGUUAACAUCUUGGGCCUGAAUGUCAGGCCGGGGAGGUGGUUCUCCGGGUGAAUGCUCUGGUGCUAGUUUUAUUUCUCUGUUCUGCGGGGGCAGGAAUGCACCUGCUUACUCCCCACUGGCUGCCUGCAGAGGAGGAGUUAGAAGAGCCACAGGGAGCCUGGGCUUGUGCCUGCAAUUUAGUCAAAACAAACAAAAGUGAACACCUCCUGCAGACCGGGCCUUUCUGGAAGAAUCAUGGCACCAGCAGAACAGGAAGAGGAUGAAGCUGCCCCUUCAGAGCCCAGCCUCAGACCCCAACUAGGGACUUGUAUUCUCCAACACGUGGGUCCAAAUAAGGAGCGGCCACUCUAAGGAACUGCCUCCACGUGCAAAGAUCUCCAGGGGCUUCAGCCCCUCCUAAACCCUUCAUUUGAGGUUUCUUUGGGAUGCUGUGGACCAGACCUCCACCCGGCUCUUGCUACGGAGGACCCAGGAUGAAAGGGUCUUCUGCUUUUCGGUGACUCCAUUCAGCCCUAUAAGGGCUGGUGUUGUGAUCAGAGUUGAAAUCAGUCCUGAAAAGAGCUCUCCUAAAAACAGGGUUUUUUUUUUCAUCCUCCUCUGUCUGUGUCAAGUUGAAGACUACUUUGAAGCCAGAUCCAGGGGCUCCAGUCACCCCCAGCCCAGCCUUCAUCACUUCUGGUGCACGGCUCCUGAUGAGGUCAGGCCCACCUGCUGGCGGCCCCCUGCUCCCUCCAGUAAUGUUGAGAAAGAAACCACAUCUUUCCUUCCUCCCCAGGUCUCUGGGUUCAGACAAAAGCAGAACCCUCUUCGCCUACCAUCAAACCCACACCACGACUGGCUGUCACCCAGCCCAAUCCUGCUGUCUUCUCUCAGUCCCCAGCAGGCCUGGCUUGUCCUCACCCUUCUCAGCCGGGAACACCUGUGCACACUUGCUGCCUCUUUUCUUUCUUGAAGACGCUGGGUCCUGACUGCCCCCUCCUAGGCCUGGUCUCACAGGUGCCUAGCUUAGGACCCCUGCUCCCCUUAACAGGGGCAUAGAGGAAAGCCUGGCCUCUGGCCAACCUCACAGGGAUGGGAGCCCCAAGUCCCCUCCGGGAAUAUGCAGGUGGUCUUGGGGAGGCCUCCAGGAGGACACUGGGUGACAGGGCUGCUUUUCCCACAGAGGCCUCACCUCAGGGGUGCAAGGGGACGCCCACUCUUGUGGGAAAGCCUGGUCUCGCUCCCCUCCCCAGCACACUGCGUCCACAGAGACCUCUCAGGAAAUGCUCUGUCAUGGAGGACUGAAUUUCAGCUGGACCACGGACCGGCCACGCGUUUUCUCUCCCCACGCGUUUUCUCUCCGUCAGUUGGGAAUGCUGCUGGGGAUCCCGCCUCCUUACAUCCAGUGGAGGAAUUGGGCCUGGCAAGGUCUUCGCCCUGGCCCCACUCCUGCCGUGAAGACAGUCUCCAGCCCUGAUUACAGAGGGACAGUCCCCUAGGAGGGCUCACUAAAAAGCAGAGUCCUGGCGUUAACCUGAACCAAUGGGAUCAGACCCACGGCUUGGGCCACCAUGCACCAAAACCACGUGGACCCCAGUCCCUCCUACCUGGGGACCAUCCUGGAUUCCUUUUCCUGCAGUUCUGGGGAUUGAAGCCAGGACCUCCCACACGCUGGGCGGAGCUACACCCCCAGCCCUUCUAUUUAUUUAUCUUGAGAGACAGUCUCGCCAAGUUGCUGAAACUGGCCUCCAACUUGAGAUCCUCCUGCCUCAGCUUCCCAAGUCCCUGGGAUCACAGCAUGCACCACUAUACUCAGCUCCCCACCACCCCUUUUUUCCUCCCCAAAUUGCUGAGAAUUUCCCACCCAUCACCCUCCACCCACCCUGCCUGAUCCGGUCAUCUUGUUUUCUGACCUCCAGGGCUGGGUGGGUCUCUGUCCUAUCUUCUCCUAGCAGGUAGCCUGCCCUGUUGCCCCCUGGGUCUCUGCUCACUCCAGCUUCCUGUCCAACAGACCAGACCAGCCCACUCCCAGCCCAGCGCAGCCCAGCCCAGCGCCCCAGGCCCUCUGGUGGAGCAGGGUUCCUGGCCCAGGCUGAGGAGGGUCUAGACACACAGCACUGCCCAGACGUGCCCUAAAUAUCCCCUUUUUAAAGAAACCCCUCACAUUCCCUGAAGGAUGAUUUACAUUUUUUCAAACUGUGUCUGGUCUAGUGAUGUCUCUGCUGGUUUGAACCAGUCUCUUAGGGUCCCCUCUCCAUCUCUGCUUCCCCUUCACUCUGGGUGAAGGCACACUCAACCCCUAGCAGGGACAAGUUACCCACACAGGGUCCCCCGGGCCAGGAUGCCAGUCCCUGUCCCCACCUGCUCCCCAUGGGGUGCCCAGGACAGAUGGAACUCAGGGGUCUCCCCUGUUGGCUCAGGCAAGGCACAGAGACCCCUCCUUGGGGCCAUCUGCCCCAUCCAAGGCUGGGCUGCUGAGUCCCCACCUCAGCACAGGUUUCUAACUCCCAGACACUGGAUCCCCCUGUCACUUGACCCCUCCGUUCCACUGCACGGCCUGGGCUUCCAGACUGGCAGCUCCCAGCCCCUCCACCUGUUCCUACUGCCUCCGCCCCGGCAGGGACCACGUGUCUCCCUCCCUCGCUGCCCCAAGUCCCACAGCUCCCAGCACCUUGGCAGCUUCCCCCAGUCCUCCCUGUUCCCUGCCCUCCCCCUCCCUCUGGCUCCUUGGAGCCCUGAUUUCUAUGUGAGAGGCAGCCUGGGGACUUUGCAAAACACUUUUCUUUUUCAAACAAAAAGCCAGGCAUUCAAGACCCAGAGGCUGAAACUCCAGGGAGUCGGCUGCGGGCCUCUGGCUUCCAGCUCAGCAAAGCUUCUUUGUUCCCAAGGUGCCCGCCCUUCCCCAAGCCCUAUGCCAGCCCGGGGCACUUCAGGCAAUAUUGUUCCUGAGAUGCUGAAUGACAGGGGCUUGGUGUUUUCACAGUCCCCUCUCCAGGGAGUGGCGUGGUAUGACAAAG